rnacentral:rRNA from 1 species
UACGUGGGGGGCAAGCGUUGUCCGGAUUUAUUGGGCGUAAAGAGCGUGUAGGCGGCCGUACAGGUCAGCUGUGAAAACUCGAGGCUCAACCUCGAGACGUCGGUUGAAACCGUAUGGCUAGAGUCCGGAAGAGGAGAGUGGAAUUCCCGGUGUAGCGGUGAAAUGCGCAGAUAUCGGGAAGAACACCCGUGGCGAAGGCGGCUCUCUGGGACGGUACUGACGCUGAGACGCGAAAGCGUGGGGAGCGAACAGG